rnacentral:lncRNA from 1 species
CAGAAGCCCAUUGCUACUAAUUUAGUAGAACCCCCUGGCAAUAUAUACAACAUUCAAAUAUUUUACAGAGAGCUUUUUUGCAUGGUUCUCAAAAGAACAAUUUUGUGUUUGGGGAUAGGACCUCAGAAGAAGCAGUUUGUUCUAUCCUCAGGCCAGCCUUGCAGAGAUUUUUACAUUCUAUCCUGACAAAUUUGCUUGUCUGCCCCUUAUGCCCACUUCUUGUCCUUCCAGCACUGAGAUACGCAGAAGGUGCAUAAAGCUACCUUGCUUUGAGUAAACAAACUGCAAUGUUGGAAAGACCCAUGUGGCAAGAAACCUCUAUUCAACAGCCAAUGAGGAAAUGAGGCACGAAAUAUAAUCACACAAGGAACUCAAGGAACUGAAACUGGCCGGCAACCAUGUAUCUAGACAAGGAGAAGCUACACCUACACCCGACAAAAAGGAUAAAUCUUUAGUCUUCCAUCUAAGACUGAGCUAAAUGCAGAGAUCGGAUGGGAAUUUAAGUUGCCACCUAUGUAGGCAGUUUUUAAUAAAAAUGUGGAAAUUGGAGGUGGAGCGAUGUGGCUGAAUAGAAGCCUCCACUGAUUAUCCUCCCCAUAGGAAGAACACAUUUAACAACCGUCUACACAAAAAAGAAACUUCAUACGAACCAAAAAUCAGCUGAAGGAAAGUAAAGGAGCCUCUACUGACCAGGAACACAAGAUCGCUUUGCUGUGCAAAAGGAAUUUAUGUCCUGCUUCCAGUGUUUCCAGGUUCUGCUUUAAGAUCUCUUAGAAAAUGUUCUUGUCUACUACAGCAUCAUCACUGAAACAAGAGGAUAAGGCCCUAAAAAGUGACACAUCAUGUCUUCACCUUGUGCUAAUGAACCAGAAUUCAGGAACAUUCUAGGUAUUUCUUAUCAAGAUGAAAAUUUUAAAAAUGAGGGUGAAAUCAGGAUCACUGAAGUCAUGGACAAUAUGUUUAUUCUCUUGAGA